UUGGAUAUAUAUAUGGGGAAUUGAGAACACAUAUAGUGUGAACUAAAUUUUUCAAGAAAAAAAUCAGCAAUUUUUUUUAGCCUUUUUCUGGUUCAAUUUCCAAUAAAAAGUCUAUUUAUUCAUUAGGUAAUCGAGUAUUAUCCAGUUUCUUUAUAAGUAUGUUAUUAUUAUUACUCUUCUAAUAUCAGAAAUAACAUUUUCAUCAUCAUAUCAUACUCCUCAAGCCUUACUUGUAGGAUUAUAUGAGGUUCGGUGAGUCAUGCCAUGUCGGAUGAGCAAGAUAUAAGAAAGAUCAAUACAAAAUGCAUAGGAAUUAAUACAAUGGAACUAAAUGGGGAUUUUCAAGAACAAGACAUAUGGAGUACUACUCAUCAUGUUGUAAAGAAGAAAUUAACCACCACUACUCCAAAGUUGAUCAUCCCAAGAGGUAAAAGUACUACUAGUAUUAGCAACCACAAUGUGUCCAAAUUGCCAAAACAAUCAUCAGCACCUGUUAAGAUACCUGAUUGGUCCAAGAUUUACAACAAGAAAUCAUCAAGAUUGUUGAAGAAUAAUGGUUGUUAUUAUGGAAGUGUUGAUGACAAUGUUGUUGAGGAAGAUGGAGAUAGUGAUGAUGGAAUGGUACCACCACAUGAAUAUAUAGAUAGAAGGGUUGCUAGGAUUCAAGUUGCUUCUUCAUCUAUGUGUGAAGGUGUUGGAAGGACACUUAAGGGAAGAGAUCUUAGUAAAGUGAGGAAUUCCAUCUUAACCAAGACUGGGUUUUUGGAAUAAAAUCACAUCAACAACAACAUGGGGUUGGGGGUUGGGGCAAUUGUAAAUUGUCAUUUUUAGUAUUAUGGUCUUUUUUAUUAGCGAACGAGCUAUGGUAAAGUUGCCUCUAUAUGUUACAGACUUACAGGUUCGAUCCAUGAUAUCCGUUAUUGAUGUUUGCAAUUGGGGUGGGGGGGGGAGAGGUUUCAAUUGUAAAUUGUCAUUUUUAGUAUUAUGGUCUUUUUUAUUAGCGAACGAGCUAUGGUAAAGUUGUCUCUAUAGGUUACAAACUUACAGGUUCGAGCCAUGAUAUCCGUUAUUAAUGUUUGCAUCGGGGGGUGGAGUGGGGUGGGGGGGUUGCAAUUGUAAAUUGUCAUUUUUAGUGUUAUGGUCUUUUUUAUUAGCGAACGAGCUAUGGUAAAAUUGUCUCUAUAGGCUACAGACUUACAGGUUAGAGCCAUGAUAUCUGUUUUUAAUGUUUGCAUGGGGAUUGUGCAAUUGUAAAUUGUGAUUUUUAG